CUUACGUUUCACCUUAAGGUUUUUACCAGUAAUUAUUUACUGUAGCGUGUACUGUAGCUCGUAGUAUUUACAUUCAGCAAAGGUCUGACCUGCAAUCAAGUUACUCUUCGCCUUGGUUGGGUUCCAGAAUAAUGCCCCUGCAACUUCUUGAAGUGAUGUCCAGCAGGAAGCGGAGACCUAACUGGACAGACCAGGAGUGUCUACUUCUUGCUCAGUUAAUGCAGGAGAAGAAAGACAUAAUCAGAGGGAAGUGCAGCAAUGGUGUUACAAUACAGGAUAAAAGACAAGCCUGGGAGGAAAUAGCCCAAUCCAUCAACACCGCCUUUCCACAGAUUCAACGUACAGUUUCUGACUGUAACAAAAAGUGGGAAAAUCUGCUGGCAAAGUCAAAGGAGGAGAUCAAACGACAGAGAAGGCAAGCGGGCGCAGAAGGCCUGUCCGUUGAACAGUUCAGCACUGUGACUCAAGUGGUGAUUUCUGUGAUGAACCUCUCAGAAAUGCUGCAACUCGAUAGAGAAGACUCUUCAAUCUCAGAGUUGAUGGAAACUCAAAACAGUGAUGAAGAUGAAAAUGAGCACAGAAUAGAUGAACGAUUCUCAAACAAACAUCCACUGCGAGAGCUUGAGCUCCCCACAUAUCCAGAGCCAUCCACUUCUCCAGCAGAACGAAAAAUGAAUGAUUUUACUAACGUCCCCAAAUUACUUGCAGUGCAUUUCAGCACUCAUCAUGCUGCUGGCUUUGCUGCUUCUGCAGAACACCUGGAUUCUCUCUGUUCUGCUUCUUCACCCGCAGUGCACUGCACAACUGUGCAAGAGCGAACGGAUUUGGAAAUGUCUGUGCUAAGAAGACAAGAGGCAGUCCUCAAGCUGCAAGAGGAAUAUUACACACUGAAAAUUAAGCUGAUGAAAAAGCAAACGGAAUAGCCACUGAAGGACAACAUGUUGUACCUACAGGACAUUAUCAAUUGUAGUCUUAACAUACACGUCUGAAUAUAAUCAACAUUACUCUAGAAUAAAGUUUAUACAGGUACUUUUGAGAGGCUGUUAAGCAUUGUUGCUUUCUGGCGGUUCCAUUCGGUUGCAAACUCACUAUUUGCUUGGGAAUAUUUCAGUUUACUUCGGAGUGUAUGGCCUUUGAGGCAGGGCCAUAUUGCUAUAAGACACACACACUAUAUUUUAACAUAUAACCAUAGUGUAAGGAGAACAAAUGACACAUUUACUAAAGUUCACACAACCAUGUGUAUUUGAACCUAAUUUAAAAAUGUUACAGCUGUAAUUCAACUGUAACAUUUUUUAAUUCUUGAAAUCAAAGUUAUUCUUUGAAGGAAGUAUAAAUGAGUUUGGUUUAUCUGCCAACUAUACUGUAAAACUUUACACUCAUAUGUAUAGUUUUACACUGUGGGAAAUGUAGUUUAUUUACUGAUUUGUGCCAUUUAGUCAUAAGUGCGAAUUUGGAAGCUGUAAAUGUUUGACAUAUACCAAUAUACAUAUUUAUGAAAACCGAACUCGGUCAUGCCCAUGUAAGUAAAGCUACGAUAAUGUCCUGUCUAGACAAAUGUAGUAAUUUGUCCGUAAUAUUUCUCAUAAAUCCGUUUGUUUGUAAGUGAUGGGAGUUGGCACCCAGAUGUAAGCAGUGGGGCCCAGAGUGUUGAAUAAA